CAACGUUCACGUGAACGUUGGCGAGCUCGCUUUGAGAGACAGGGCGCCUG
rnacentral:ribozyme from 1 species